rnacentral:rRNA from 1 species
CCUACGGGAGGCAGCAGUGGGGAAUAUUGGACAAUGGGGGGAACCCUGAUCCAGCCAUGCCGCGUGUGUGAAGAAGGCCCUCGGGUUGUAAAGCACUUUCAGUGAGGAAGAACGCCUGGUGGUUAAUACCCAUCAGGAAAGACAUCACUCACAGAAGAAGCACCGGCUAACUCCGUGCCAGCAGCCGCGGUAAUACGGAGGGUGCGAGCGUUAAUCGGAAUUACUGGGCGUAAAGCGCGCGUAGGUGGCUUGAUAAGCCGGUUGUGAAAGCCCCGGGCUCAACCUGGGAACGGCAUCCGGAACUGUCAAGCUAGAGUGCAGGAGAGGAAGGUAGAAUUCCCGGUGUAGCGGUGAAAUGCGUAGAGAUCGGGAGGAAUACCAGUGGCGAGGGCGGCCUUCUGGACUGACACUGACACUGAGGUGCGAAAGCGUGGGUAGCAAACAGGAUUAGAUACCCUAGUAGUC